CCUACGGGAGGCAGCAGUGAGGAAUAUUGGUCAAUGGGCGCAAGCCUGAACCAGCCAAGUAGCGUGAAGGAUGACUGCCCUACGGGUUGUAAACUGCUUUUAUAAGGGAAUAAAGUGCGGCACGUGUGACUUUUUGCAUGUACCUUAUGAAUAAGGACCGGCUAACUCCGUGCCAGCAGCCGCGGUAAUACGGAGGGUCCGAGCGUUAUCCGGAUUUAUUGGGUUUAAAGGGAGCGUAGGUGGCUUGUUAAGUCAGUUGUGAAAUUUUGUGGCUCAACCGUAAAACUGCGAUGGAUACUGGCAGGCUUGAGUGCAGUUGAGGUAGGCGGAAUUCGUGGUGUAGCGGUGAAAUGCUUAGAUAUCACGAAGAACUCCGAUUGCGAAGGCAGCCUACUAAACUGCAACUGACAUUGCUGCUCGAAAGUGUGGGUAUCAAACAGGAUUAGAUACCCCAGUAGUC
rnacentral:rRNA from 1 species